GGCCGCCGCGGCUCCGCCCGAGGAACUAGGCUGGUGCGCCCCGGGCACCUGAGCAGGAAACCUUCCGGCGGCCGCGGCCCGUGCCCCGCCGCCGCCGCCGCCGCCCGCGGUCCCAUUGGCCCCUCCGCUGCUGCUGGAAGAAAAAAACUAAAUGGACUUUUUGGCCAGCCCGAUGCAUGUGGUCGCAUAAGCACUCCCCUCCCUGCUUCCUGUCACUCAUUUAAGUCACUGUGGCGACGACGCAUGAACGAUGAAAAGGUUCACAGGACAAUCACUGCGGCUGUGAGGUCCUGAGCAAGGAACACCCCCCACCAGGGACAGGCCAGGUGCCGCAGGUCCUGGCCCUUCUGUGCCCCUCGAGCUCUCCCUGCCUCCUGUUCUCCCCAACUAUGAUGCCUGAAGCACAGGGGAGAUGGCAAAGAAUGCCCUUCCAUUGUUCCCCUUUCCCCCAACGCACGUGGUGAAAAUAAGUCAACGGAGCAGGCAACAUUAUAAAGAAUCCAGACUUCCUCGUGUGAAGAGUGGAGAGCCUCAAGACGAAGUUUCUAUCUGCCGGGACCGUAAUUCCAGGCGCCGGUCUGCCGACCCACGGCAGUCAGUGCGGAGGUGUUCCCAGUGACAUCAGAAAAGUGAGGACGAGGCAGUCAUAGCUUUCUGAUCCGUGAAAACCUAAAUGUCUGUUAAUAGCAUGAUGGUUCCUCAAAAAAUUAAGCCCAAAACUACCAUGGCAUCCAGCAACCCCACCUCUGAUACGGACCCAAGAGAAUCGAAAGCAGGGACUCAAACAGACAUGCGCACACCCAUGUUCCCAGCAGCGUUAUUCACACGGUCAAAAGGUGGAAGCCACCUGCGUCCGUGAACAGGUGAGUGGGUAAACAGGACGUGGCCUGUGCAUACACUGGAAUGUUAUCCAGACUCAAAAAGGAAGGAGAUUCUGACAUACUAAAACAUGGGUGAAUCUUGAAGACAGUAGGCUAAGUGAAAUAAGCCAGCCACAAAAAGACAAACACCGUCCGCGGUUCUACUUACGGAGGGACCUAGAGAAGUCAAAUUCGUACAGACAGGAAGCAGGGUGGUGGGGGCCAGGCGCCGGGGGCAGUGGGAACCGGCGAGUAGUUGUUAAUGGGGACCGAGUUUCAGCUGUGCGGGGUGGGAGGCGGUCUAGAGAUUGAUUGCACAGCGGUAGAAUGCAAUGAACGCUGAAAACCUUAAAAAUGGUUAAGAUAAUUUUAUGUGAUGUGU